rnacentral:rRNA from 1 species
UACGUAGGAUGCGAGCGUUGUCCGGAAUUAUUGGGCGUAAAGAGAACGUAGGUGGUUUCUUAAGUCAGGGGUGAAAUCCUGGAGCUCAACUCCAGAACUGCCUUUGAUACUGGCGAUCUUGAGUCCGGGAGAGGUGAGUGGAACUGCGAGUGUAGAGGUGAAAUUCGUAGAUAUUCGCAAGAACACCAGUGGCGAAGGCGGCUCACUGGCCCGGUACUGACGCUGAGGUGCGAAAGCGUGGGGAGCAAACAGG